AGUGAACGCUGGCGGUAGGCCUAACACAUGCAAGUCGAACGGCAGCACAGUAAGAGCUUGCUCUUACGGGUGGCGAGUGGCGGACGGGUGAGGAAUACAUCGGAAUCUACUUUUUCGUGGGGGAUAACGUAGGGAAACUUACGCUAAUACCGCAUAUGACCUACGGGUGAAAGCAGGGGAUCUUCGGACCUUGCCCGAUUGAAUGAGCCGAUGUCGGAUUAGCUAGUUGGCGGGGUAAAGGCCCACCAAGGCGACGAUCCGUAGCUGGUCUGAGAGGAUGAUCAGCCACACUGGAACUGAGACACGGUCCAGACUCCUACGGGAGGCAGCAGUGGGGAAUAUUGGACAAUGGGCGCAAGCCUGAUCCAGCCAUACCGCGUGGGUGAAGAAGGCCUUCGGGUUGUAAAACCCUUUUGUUGGGAAAGAAAAGCAGCAGGUUAAUACCCCGCUGUUCUGACGGUACCCAAAGAAUAAGCACCGGCUAACUUCGUG
rnacentral:rRNA from 1 species